AAACUUUCAACAAUGGAUCUCUUGGUUCCGGCAUCGAUGAAGAACGCAGCGAAAUGCGAUAAUUAAUGUGAAUUGCANAAUUCAGUGAAUCAUCGAGUCUUUGAACGCACAUUGCACCCCCUGGUAUUCCGGGGGGUAUGCCUGUCCGAGCGUCAUU
rnacentral:rRNA from 1 species